GACGUAGGGCGCGAGCGUUGUCCGGGAUUUAUUGGGCGUAAAGAGCUCGUAGGCGGCUUGUUGCGUCAGCUGUGAAAACCCGCAGCUCAACUGUGGGCUUGCAGCUGAUACGGGCAGGCUUGAGUUCGGUAGGGGAGACUGGAAUUCCUGGUGUAGCGGUGAAAUGCGUAGAUAUCGGGAGGAACACCAGUGGCGAAGGCGGUUGCCUGGGGCUUUGCUGACGCUGAUGCGCGAAAGCGUGGGGAGCGAUCCGG
rnacentral:rRNA from 1 species